rnacentral:lncRNA from 1 species
UGCAAAUUCAUCACCCAGCAGUGUGAGGUUACCAGUGAGCAGAUGCAGAAAUAUAUCACUGAAGGCCAAGUCGCUGAAUGUCUCGACUAGUGCUGGCAGGAGUCUGAGGAAAGCAUUCUUGUUCCUCUGUUUAGUUAUGUGAAGGAUAUAGUAUAGCCCAAUCUCACAAGCUAUUCUGUUCUCCUGCAAGAAUUUGGUGAAAGCCUCAGGAAUGGUGCUGGGGUAGGGAAUCGGCCCCUUUUCCUCCGAGGGCAGUUUCUGAUCUACAUUGAACGUGUGAUCAUCCACCACAAAGGACAUCAGCAUAGGCAAGAACUUCGUGAUCAACUCAGCUUCCAUUUUUGGUUCCUUGAAGACUUGACUGUCAAUCAUGUCCCAGGCUCCCUGUCCUAAAGACAGCAUCCUAAGGAGCAGCAGCAGAUCUGGGCUUUCCCUGGGUAAGGUGUCCUGCCCAACUAGGUCCUGCAGGUGCCUUAUGGUACUCAGGGCUAAGGUGUUAAUGGCAAAGGGAUCACACAAGAUCAUCGAUAAGUCCCCCAAAACUUGCUCUUGUCCUUUCUUCACUCCAUCCAGAAAGCCUUGCAAUUCCCGAGCUCUCUUGUUGUCC